rnacentral:lncRNA from 1 species
AAUACUUGAAGCUGCAGACAUCAGUGUGAGAAGCAAUGCAUGUGGGCUUUCUGACUGAAGCUCUUUGACUCCACCCUUCUUCGAGAAGUCCUAACCUAUACCUGCCAUGUGCCUCUUCUGCUAGGUGGGCAUUUGUUGAAGGAAAAAGUGGAGUAAAAGGUAACAAUUUAUCUAUUGAUUUGGAUAGAAUUGACCGAAAGAUGGCGAGUCAUGGCUUCUAUCCGGUGGUAACCGCCUUCAUGGUAUUGCUGUAAGCUUUGAGACCUGCUUGAUAGUGCCAAGCUUUUGCUACAUCUGUAUAUGUUCAUUAUUUUCAUGUGUAAG